CCCUUAGAUGUUCUGGGCCGCACGCGCGCUACACUGACGGAUUCAACGAGCUUACAACCUUGGCCGAAAGGUCUGGGUAAUCUCCAAAAUCCGUCGUGAUGGGGAUAGAUUAUUGCGAUUAUUAAUCUUCAACGAGGAAUGCCUAGUAAGCGCAAGUCAUCAGCUUGCGUUGAUUACGUCCCUGCCCUUUGUACACACCGCCCGUCGCUCCUACCGAUUGAAUGGUCCGGUGAAGCGUUUGGACUAUGGUUUUCUGAUGGUCCGCCGUUGGAUUACCGUGGGAAGUUCGUUAAACCUUAUCAUUUAGAGGAAGGAGAAGGCGUAACA
rnacentral:rRNA from 1 species